rnacentral:siRNA from 1 species
GGGAAUAUGCUUAUUUGAAUGC